rnacentral:ncRNA from 1 species
UUGGUUCACAACCGAAUGUGAUUAAAAUGGGAAUCAGGUGCGAAUCCUGAACAGUCCCGCUGCUGUAAGCAGCUUUGUAGAAGUGAACACAUGUCACUGAUAUUAUUGGGAAGACGUUCACUUGUUAGCUGUAAGUCAGAAGACCUGCCAUUGCUGA